rnacentral:rRNA from 1 species
GUCCUAGCCGUAAACGAUGAGCACUAGGUGCGGGCUCGCAAGGGUCCGUGCCGCAGUUAACACAUUAAGUGCUCCACCUGGGGACUACGGCCGCAAGGUUGAAACUCAAAGAAAUUGACGGGGACCCGCACAAGCGGUGGAGCAUGUGGUUUAAUACGACGCUACGCGUGGAACCUUACCAGGAUUUGACAUGUACUUGAAAUCCCGAUGAAAGUCGGGACCUCCUUUAAAGACAGGUACACAGGUGUUGCAUGGCUGUCGU